rnacentral:lncRNA from 1 species
UUUUUUUUUUUUUUUUAGGGCCUUACUUUCACUAAAGUCCUAAGACUUCACAAAGUCUGUUAGGAUUGGCGAAGGUCAUGAAUGCUGUGGCCACCUGCCGCCAACCACUCAAGGCCACCCGAACCCCAUCCAUCGCAUCUAGAAGUAUCAUUCUGCCAAGUGAGGCUUUUAGCGACCCGUCAUUAGCUCAUUACUACAGCGAGGUUCCAAAGCCACCAUGUAAGGAAAACCCUCAAUCAGGGCCUUGGCCUGCCCGCCAGGACACUGCACAUCUCCAAGCUUCUGACCACUAGACACAGAUGGAAACAGGGCUUCUUCAGCUCUGAUUUCCUUCAUCCCCUAGGCUGCCUUGCUCUCCUUCCUUCCUUCCUUUCCGGAAAACUGUUUUAGACAGUUGAUAGCCUUAAAACCCAAGUUUUGCACUAAUUUUUCUUGAUAGUGUUAUAACAUGCUCACCUGUUCCCUCCAUUAAACUCUAAGCUACCCAGAGGCAAAGGCCUGUACUCAGCAGGCCUU